UACGUAGGUGGCAAGCGUUGUCCGGAUUUAUUGGGCGUAAAGGGAACGCAGGCGGUCUUUUAAGUCUGAUGUGAAAGCCUUCGGCUUAACCGGAGUAGUGCAUUGGAAACUGGAAGACUUGAGUGGAGAAGAGGAGAGUGGAACUCCAUGUGUAGCGGUGAAAUGCGUAGAUAUAUGGAAGAACACUAGUGGCGAAAGCGGCUCUCUGGUCUGUAACUGACGCUGAGGUUCGAAAGCGUGGGUAGCAAACAGG
rnacentral:rRNA from 1 species